rnacentral:rRNA from 1 species
CUACGGGCCGCUCCAGUGAGGAAUAUUGCACAAUGGAGGAAACUCUGAUGCAGCAACGCCGCGUGGAGGAUGACGCAUUUCGGUGUGUAAACUCCUUUUAUAUGUCAAGAAAAUGACGGUAGCAUAUGAAUAAGCACCGGCUAACUCCGUGCCAGCAGCCGCGGUAAUACGGCGGGUGCAAGCGUUACUCGGAAUCACUGGGCGUAAAGGACGCGUAGGCGGGAUAUCAAGUCAGGUGUGAAAUCCUACAGCUUAACUGUAGAACUGCACUUGAAACUGGUAACCUAGAGUAUGGGAGGGGGAGAUGGAAUUAGUGGUGUAGGGGUAAAAUCCGUAGAUAUCACUAGGAAUACCUAAAGCGAAGGCGAUCCCCUGGAACAUUACUGACGCUAAGGCGUGAAAGCGUGGGGAGCAAACAGGAUUAGAUACCCGAGUAGUC